rnacentral:misc_RNA from 1 species
AAAUCCCAAGACGUAGGAAAUUUGAAAACUUGAAAAAGACCCAUGGAAACUAAAAGAGAGAAGUUGUGAGCUUAUGAUAUUACAUGUGACUGACUGUAAUCACAAAACCGGUCAAUCUACGAAAAUCCUUGAUGAUAGACACACGUACAGUGGAAAAAAUUUAUUUCUGGAAAUUCGAUAGGUGAUGGAUGGAACCAGGAUGUUAUGUUAACUAUCUGAAAUCUGUGUAGACUAGCCUUUAAAAAGCAAAAGAAACUGGUUCGCAAUAUUUCGCCUGCGAGGGAGAGUUGAACCCUAUGGAAACACCAUCACAUCCAGCUUCUCAUUUCUAUUUGGGCACUUUGACUACUUCAAAACAUGAACUUAGCCAAAAAAGUGCAGAAGGUGAAAUUUCUGCUAGCAGUGCUCAGACAGUGAUUAUCAGCGGUGGCAAGAUGAAGACGGUCCGUACAUCAACGCCUGACCUGGUUCGCCAGAUGGAGUACUUUGAAUCUAGCGUUGGUAACGCGACCACGUACAUGCACGUGUUUAAGGAUGAUUGGGGUGCGGCUAACACACAGGAUCGUUCUGACACUCACAUUGUGAAUCAAACUUCGACCGUUGCCGCAACGAGUAGCUGUGUACAGCAGUCCACCUGUUCGCACGUACGCACUGAUUCAAUUGAUGGAUCAGACUCGACGAGAACCUUUCUGAAGUUUGCAAAGCAGCGCAGGGGUAGAGUUAAGGCUGAAACUCUACGCCCCAUGGGGGUGAGAGCCAGAAGGAAGAUGGAACUGGACUCUUGUGCUGAAUGUUCUAAGAAAGCUGAAGGUAACCCAUGUGAAGAGACAUCAGCAGUGGAAUCAAUGCAAGCCACCACAACGUAUGCACCUGCUGCUAGCAUCAAAAGAGGACAGUAUAGAUCAAGAAUGAUGGAUUCUGCGCGCCCGAAUCACUCUUACAUGCACCUUAUCAGGCUGGCUCUAAUCGCAGCGCCGUCCGGCAAACUUACCUUAAGAGAAAUCUACACGUGGAUAGAGCAAAACUUUCCAUACUUCAAGACCUGUUCUCAGGGAUGGAAGAACUCCAUUCGACACAAUCUCUCCUUGUAUGAUCUCUUCGUGAGAGAACCACCGAGUUUUCCUCAGUCGUCGAACGGACCGUCGCUAUGGAAACUCAACAUGGCUGUCAUGGCUGGCCAAGAUAGCAAAGAGCGAUUGGCGGAGGCUGUGUCGCACCCGAUCGCCACACCCGUGCUUCUCCCGAAGAUGCACCUGGGUUCUACGCUGCUGGUGCCACUCACCUGUGUGCAGUUGGACAGUGUCGGAGGCUUCCAGCCCGUUGUCCAGCAACCCUCGCAGCAGCAGCUGCAGUCGCUACCGGUCGCCGGCGUCGGCCGCCACAUCAGGGCGAUCCUCCCCAAGCCGGCGUCGGCUGCGGCGUACGAUCUGUCGACAUAUAACGCAUCCCUCCGCAUCGAUUUCGGCGCGAGAGUGGUGACGGCUAGCCCUGCCAUGGGCGAGCUGCUGUCAAACAUGAAAGCCGCGCGCUAUAACAACGCGCUCCCGUCCGCGCUGCACGCCGAUCUCGUCGAAUCGGCACCGCGCGUUCCCGCCGCGUCCUCGGAAGGAAGCAGGGCGCAGAGGACGAGAAGUGCAGCAAAGAGGAAGCCCGCGGCAGCCGGCGGCAGCAUCCCGCGUGCUGUGACCCGCCCGCGAAUCCUCCGCGGCACGAAGCGCACGAAGACGCAGCAGCGAGAGCGCGCGGAGGCGGUGGCGCCCCCUACACCCGACGACCCGACCCUGGCGACAUCGGACAGCCUCUUCUUGUCGUCGUGGGACGGCGACGCGAUGCGGCUCUUUGACUCGCCGCGUGUGGGCUGGCUGCAGCGGGAGCUCGCGACGCCGCCGCGCACGCACCGAAUCAGCCUCACAUCGACGCCGAGCCGCGGCCUGUCGCCCGUCUACCGGCGCGACGCCAUCGCCGACAGCGGCAUCUUCAGCGACGAGAACGCCACUUAUCCGCCGCCGCCGCCGCAUCGUUUCUCCUCCCUGUCGUGCGGCGGGGCGUCGCCGCCGUGGUGCCAGACGCUUGAGUCGUCGCCGCUGAACGUGACGGGGGGUGCGGUGACGGGGUCGCUGAGAGAGCUCGGCAUCGUUGGCCUGACACCGGUGAAGCCGCGCUGCAUGCUCAACACGAGUCUGAAUCUGAGCGCAAACCAGAGCUUCUCGGACGUGCUGAGAGCGAUUGAGCUAGACAACGGCUAGGUGGGAGAGGUGGUCAGGGUAGCAGGGUAGGAGAGAUGGACGAUGGCUAGGUGAGAGAGACGUGCUCAGUGCCUUUUAGCAGGGCAGGAGAGAUGGACAACGGCUAGGUGGGAGAGGUGGUCAGGGUAGCAGGGUAGGAGAGAUGGACAACGGCUAGGUGGGAGAGGUGGUCAGGGUAGCAGAGUAGGAGAGAUGGACAACGGCUAGGUGAGGGACGUGGUCAGGGUAGCAGGGUAGGAGAGAUGGAAAACGGCUAGCAGGGUAGGAAAGAUAGAAAACAGCUAACGAGUUCCGAGAGGUGGACAAUGGCUAGGUGGAAGACGUGGUCAGCACCUAGUAGCAGGGUAGGAGAGAUGGACAAUGGCUAGGUGAGAGAGGUGGUCAGGUUAGAAGGGUACGAGAGAUAGACAACGGCUAGAUGGGAGAAGUGAUCUACACCUGGUAGGAUCAUAGUUAUCGGGAGCAUAGAUCUAGCAAGUUCAGAGAGAUGGAUGAUGGCUAGCAGAGUAGGAGAGAUGGAGAAUGGCUAGGUGAGAGAGGGGAUCAGUGGCUAGUAGGAUCAGUGUUAGCGAGUUCGGAGAGAUGGACAACGGUUAGAUGAGAGAGGUAAUCGGUGCUUGGUAGGAUCACAGUGAGAGCAGCUAGCAAGUUCAGUAGGAGAGGUGGAUAAUGGCUAGCAGGGUAGGAGAGAUGGACAACGGCUAGUGGAGUCGGAAAGUGGACAGCAUUUAGUGGGGUCAGGGAGAUGGACUGAGGCUAGCAGGGUUAGGUACAGAUGGAUUGAGGUUAGCAGGGACAGAGAGAUGUACUGGAGCCAGCAGGUCUAAAGAGAUGGACAGAGGUUAGCAGGGUUAUGCAGAUGGACAGAGGUUAGCAGGUUCAGAGAGAUUAAUUUGAAGGUUUAGUUGGGUAGAAUCAGAAGUAGAUAAUAGGGAAUUCCGUAUUAUCUACUUCUGGUGGAAUGUUGCUAGCAAGUGAUAUAAGUUUACCAUGACUAACACGUGAAAGAGAAGGACAACGCCUAGCCUUUUGGAGAGAGACAUACCGUUACCAGCAAGAUCAUGGAGGUGUUAGUCAGUUUUCAUGCACACUCUACCCUGAGGGUCUUUCACAGGUAGCAGCUGCGGUUGCACUGUGAACACACGUGUGAACUACACGUGUGAACACGUAAUUGACUAGAGCGUUUACAUGAUAAAUAUGAGAAUCCCCUACACUAUGUCUAAAACUUUCGAAAUUCAAAACGUGAAGUGCUAAAGCAUAUGCUAAAGCAUGAACGUAUGCGUUCAUUAAUUCCAUGAUGGCAUCAGUACGUAUACGUAAUAAAGAUGUACUCUAUCAUA